rnacentral:rRNA from 1 species
UGAGUAAUACAUCGGAACGUGUCUUCUAGUGGGGGAUAACUGCCCGAAAGGGCAGCUAAUACCGCAUGAGACCUGAGGGUGAAAGCGGGGGAUCGCAAGACCUCGCGCUGGAAGAGCGGCCGAUGUCCGAUUAGCUAGUUGGUGAGGUAAAGGCCCACCAAGGCGACGAUCGGUAGCUGGUCUGAGAGGACGACCAGCCACACUGGGACUGAGACACGGCCCAG